GCCUCCGUAGCUCAGUGGUAGAGCUUCCGCCUUGUAAGCGGACGGCCGUCGGUUCAAUCCCGACCGGGGGCUCCA
rnacentral:tRNA from 1 species